rnacentral:rRNA from 1 species
GAUUAACGCUGGCGGCGUGCAUAACACAUGCAAGUCGAACGAGUGGCGGACGGGUGAGUAAUGUCUGGGAAACUGCCUGAUGGAGGGGGAUAACUACUGGAAACGGUAGCUAAUACCGCAUACCAUCAGAUGUGCCCAGAUGGGAUUAGCUAGUAGGUGGGGUAAUGGCUCACCUAGGCGACGAUCCCUAGCUGGUCUGAGAGGAGGACCAGCCACACUGGAACUGAGACACGGUCCAGACUCCUACGGGAGGCAGCAGUGGGGAAUAUUGCACAAUGGGCGCAAGCCUGAUGCAGCCAUGCCGCGUGUGUGAAGAAGGCCUUCGGGUUGUAAAGCACUUUCAGCGAGGAGGCGUUACUCGCAGAAGAAGCACCGGCUAACUCCGUGCCAGCAGCCGCGGUAAUAC